rnacentral:lncRNA from 1 species
UUAGAGUCAAAAUAUUGAUAAAAUGCAUUUUAAAAUCAUGAUUGAAGGAAAUCAAAGUACUCAUCAAAGAUUCUGCAAAUUGGUUGUAAAUUAUGUGUUAAUUAAUAUGACAAGACUCCUAUAAUUACAAAAUCAAAUUAGGUGCUCUUGACGUAUACUCGUUCAUCUAUUAGAUUAUUUUCACCAAUCUUAUGGAAGACGAGAUCUUAUAUAAACUACAAAAUCUUAUUUAAACUUAAUAGUCUUGAAUAUAUGUACUACAAGAUAAAUUAAUAAGGAAAAGAAAAGGACUUUUCUUCAGCUUAUAGAAGCUCAAUAAACUCCUUACAUAUAUUUAUUUAAAAGAAUCGUGAAUUUUGAAUGAAAUCUUUUGUGAAAUAAAACAAAUGCAUAAAAAAAAAAUUCAUGAAUUGAUGAAAGCAUUUGACGGCCGUAUUUUUAGAAAAUUCCCAUAAAACGAAACACAUGGAAAAUGUACUUGUUAGUGAUUGUUGACACUUGAAAAGUAAUUUUAGACGAUUAGAAAAAGUAUAAAAAUAAUUUUCAUAUCCUCUUCAGUUAAUAUUAACUCCAUGUAAUCAUGCAUUCUUUUUAUGUAAAGUUCAUACUCUUUACGACUGAUAAAGAGCGUAGAUAUAAAUGAGUAUGAAUGCAUUAAAGAAUUGAAAAAUAAACUGUCGGCUUAUCCUCAUAAACCUAAAUUUCAGUUAAAAAAAGGUAUAAGUGUCAUUAUCAUAUCAAAAGUUUGAAGAUUUAGUUGGAAGCCUUGAGGGUCCAAUGCUAGUCGGAGAAUGAGAAAAAAAAUUUAAAAAGGAUGUGAAGUUCUAACAACUUUAUAUUGUGGUUAAGCAGAUUGUGUACACGAGAUGUCUAAGAUUUCAAAGUCAAAUUACUUGGCUACUCAUUGGAAUGGUGGGGUUGAAGUAUGAAGAAAAUAUUCAACACCCAUAAUGAUGAGAUUGACACUUUAUUUUUUCUGCAGAAGAUUAUUUUUCAUCACUGAGAUUUGAUA